UACGGAGGGUGCGAGCGUUAAUCGGAAUUACUGGGCGUAAAGCGCACGCAGGCGGUUUGUUAAGCUAGAUGUGAAAGCCCCGGGCUCAACCUGGGAUGGUCAUUUAGAACUGGCAGACUAGAGUCUUGGAGAGGGGAGUGGAAUUCCAGGUGUAGCGGUGAAAUGCGUAGAUAUCUGGAGGAACAUCAGUGGCGAAGGCGACUCCCUGGCCAAAGACCGACGCUCAUGUGCGAAAGUGUGGGUAGCGAACAGG
rnacentral:rRNA from 1 species